GGGGCAGAAACCCGGGCACGGGUGCGUAACGCGUAUGCAACCUACCUUUCACAGGGGGAUAGCCCGAAGAAAUUUGGAUUAAUACCCCAUAAUAUUAUUGGAUGGCAUCAUUUGAUAAUUAAAAUUACGAUGGUGAAAGAUGGGCAUGCGUCCUAUUAGCUAGUUGGAGUGGUAACGGCACCCCAAGGCUACGAUAGGUAGGGGUCCUGAGAGGGAGAUCCCCCACACUGGUACUGAGACAGGGACCAGACUCCUACGGGAGGCAGCAGUGAGGAAUAUUGGUCAAUGGUCGGAAGACUGAACCAACCAUGCCGCGUGCAGGAAGAAUGCCUUAUGGGUUGUAAACUGCUUUUAUAUGGGAAGAAUAAGGAGUACGCGUACUUUGAUGACGUACCAUAUGAAUAA
rnacentral:rRNA from 1 species